rnacentral:rRNA from 1 species
AGCGAACGCUGGCGGCAUGCCUAACACAUGCAAGUCGAACGGAUCCUUCGGGAUUAGUGGCGGACGGGUGAGUAACACGUGGGAACGUGCCCUUUGGUUCGGAACAACUCAGGGAAACUUGUGCUAAUACCGGAUGUGCCCUUCGGGGGAAAGAUUUAUCGCCAUUGGAUCGGCCCGCGUCUGAUUAGCUAGUUGGUGAGGUAAAGGCCCACCAAGGCGACGAUCAGUAGCUGGUCUGAGAGGAUGAUCAGCCACACUGGGACUGAGACACGGCCCAGACUCCUACGGGAGGCAGCAGUGGGGAAUCUUGCGCAAUGGGCGAAAGCCUGACCCAGCAAUGCCGCGUGAAUGAUGAAGGUCUUAGGAUUGUAAAGUUCUUUUAGCCGGGACGAUAAUGACGGUACCCGCAGAAGAAGCUCCGGCUAACUUCGUG